CUUGGGCCUGAGCUUGGCCAGCAGCCACCAACAGGGAGACAUGUGAAGGACAUGAGACCCUGCAUGGCUUGAGUCCCUGCUUUCACCAGCACCAUCACUGCAGCACUGUGGGACAAGCCCUGGCACUCCCUCCUCCACUGCCCACGGGAGCUGCAGCACAAGCCCAGAGUGCUCAGGUUGGAUGGAGAUCCUGCACUGUAAGGCAAGCUGAAUCCCUCUCCCUGGUUUUGUGUUGGCUGUGGCCAUGUAAAGCAUCAAUAGAUAAGAAAGCUGAUUUUGUUCUAUGUUGGUCUCUGUGUCUUCUACGUCUUCUGCUGUUCUUCGGGUUGAGAAAGGAACAUGCAGCUGUAAAGUCAGUGCCCCAUCUUGAAUUUUUGUAUAUCCCUCUUCAUCUUACAAUGAACUGUGGAGGUGUGCCUCAGUGUGGUCAGAGCCACCAGCUGGGCACAGUGCUGUGCAAGGACUGUACCUCCUUUCUCUAGGAUGUCAGACCCUUCUGAGAGCUGCCAUCAGUUACACACAAAGUCCCCAAAUAUCUUGGUGUCUCCUUUGCCCAAGCAUGAGAUCAUUACCUGUUGUGUGGGGCAAGCUGGG
rnacentral:lncRNA from 12 species